GACGAACGCUGGCGGCGUGCUUAACACAUGCAAGUCGAACGGAAAGGCCCUGCUUUUGUGGGGUGCUCGAGUGGCGAACGGGUGAGUAACACGUGAGUAACCUGCCCUUGACUUUGGGAUAACUUCAGGAAACUGGGGCUAAUACCGGAUAGGAGCUCCUGCUGCAUGGUGGGGGUUGGAAAGUUUCGGCGGUUGGGGAUGGACUCGCGGCUUAUCAGCUUGUUGGUGGGGUAGUGGCUUACCAAGGCUUUGACGGGUAGCCGGCCUGAGAGGGUGACCGGCCACAUUGGGACUGGGAUACGGCCCAGACUCCUACGGGAGGCAGCAGUGGGGAAUAUUGCCCAAUGGGCGGAAGCCUGAUGCAGCAACGCCGCGUGCGGGAUGACGGCCUUCGGGUUGUAAACCGCUUUCGCCUGUGACGAAGCGUGAGUGACGGUAAUGGGUAAAGAAGCACCGGCUAACUACGUG
rnacentral:rRNA from 1 species